UACGUAGGGGGCGAGCGUUGUCCGGAAUCAUUGGGCGUAAAGCGCGUGUAGGCGGCCCGGUAAGUCCGCUGUGAAAGUCCAGGGCUCAACCCUGGGAUGCCGGUGGAUACUGUCGGGCUCGAGUCCGGAAGAGGCGAGUGGAAUUCCUGGUGUAGCGGUGAAAUGCGCAGAUAUCAGGAGGAACACCAAUGGCGAAGGCAGCUCGCUGGGACGGUACUGACGCUAAGGCGCGAAAGCGUGGGGAGCGAACAGG
rnacentral:rRNA from 1 species